rnacentral:rRNA from 1 species
GACGAACGCUGGCGGCGUGCUUAACACAUGCAAGUCGAACGGAAAGGCCCUGCUUUUGUGGGGUGCUCGAGUGGCGAACGGGUGAGUAACACGUGAGUAACCUGCCCUUGACUUUGGGAUAACUUCAGGAAACUGGGGCUAAUACCGGAUAGGAGCUCCUGCUGCAUGGUGGGGGUUGGAAAGUUUCGGCGGUUGGGGAUGGACUCGCGGCUUAUCAGCUUGUUGGUGGGGUAGUGGCUUACCAAGGCUUUGACGGGUAGCCGGCCUGAGAGGGUGACCGGCCACAUGGGGAUGGAGAUACGGCCCAGACCCCUCCGGGGGGGAGGGGGGGGGAAUAUUGCAAAAUGGGCGGAAGCCUGAUGCAGAAACCCCGGGGGCGGGAUGACGGCUUUCGGGUGGUAAACCGCUUUCGCCUGUGACGAAGGGUGAGUGAAGGGAAUGGGGAAAGAAGCACCGGCGAACUACGG